UACGUAGGGUGCAAGCGUUAAUCGGAAUUACUGGGCGUAAAGCGUGCGCAGGCGGCUUGGCAAGUCGGGUGUGAAAUCCCGGGGCUCAACCCCGUGACUGCAUUCGAUACUGUCAGGCUAGAGGUAGGUAGGGGAGAUCGGAAUUCCUGGUGUAGCGGUGAAAUGCGCAGAUAUCAGGAGGAACACCGGUGGCGAAGGCGGAUCUCUGGGCCUUACCUGACGCUCAGGCGCGAAAGCUAGGGGAGCGAACAGG
rnacentral:rRNA from 1 species